rnacentral:rRNA from 1 species
GAUGAACGCUGGCGGCGUGCCUAAUACAUGCAAGUCGAGCGAACAGACGAGGAGCUUGCUCCUCUGACGUUAGCGGCGGACGGGUGAGUAACACGUGGAUAACCUACCUAUAAGACUGGGAUAACUUCGGGAAACCGGAGCUAAUACCGGAUAAUAUAUUGAACCGCAUGGUUCAAUAGUGAAAGACGGUUUUGCUGUCACUUAUAGAUGGAUCCGCGCCGCAUUAGCUAGUUGGUAAGGUAACGGCUUACCAAGGCAACGAUGCGUAGCCGACCUGAGAGGGUGAUCGGCCACACUGGAACUGAGACACGGUCCAGACUCCUACGGGAGGCAGCAGUAGGGAAUCUUCCACGAUGGGCGAAAGCCUGACGGAGCAACGCCGCGUGAGUGAUGAAGGUCUUCGGAUCGUAAAACUCUGUUAUUAGGGAAGAACAAAUGUGUAAGUAACUAUGCACGUCUUGACGGUACCUAAUCAGAAAGCCACGGCUAGCUACGUG